ensembl:lncRNA
UUUUUUUUUACUAUUUGUCUGUAGUUUUAAAAAUUCCUUCAGUCAUUAUAAACCACUGUUGCAUUAGUCAUUAGAGGCCAAAAACAUCUGUAGAUUAUUAUGCCUUUGGAAAUGAUGGUAUCAUAGUCUUGACUAUGGAUGCUAUAUAGAAGCUUCAAGUGAUGUGCAUUUCUCUGUUCAAAUUGCAGUAUGGCCAGGCUAAGGGUCUAGUUAUCCAGAUCGUUGAGCCAGAAAGCAAUAGAAUUUAAGAUACAAACAAAAUUUUAGGGGAGACUGGAAUCUUAAAAAUAGUGUGAUCUAGGCCUCUAUUUUGUAAAUGAGGAAACUGAGGCCCAGAAAGUUUAGGUGAUUUGUCCAUGGCCUUAAAGCUGGCUGGCUUAACUAACACAUCAGCAUUAGUACCUAAAUUGCCCUUCAACAUAAUACUUUUUCUUCUUACAUACUAUUUGUAGCUGUCAGUAAAUAACUUUUAAUCCUUUUUAAUCUUUUUCUCAGAACUCCAUGAAAUUGUUAGGGGAAAUAGUCCAUUUCACUGAUGAGUCAAAUGAGGCUCAGUGAAAUUAUAAGUGACAUAAGCCACAUAGUGAACUACUAAGAGAAACAGGACUAAGAUGGGACAGACCAAAUUGUCUUCUGUCUCAUCUUUAAGCUUCAUAGACAGGUUUGCAGAAACGUUCGGAUUCUAGGCUAAUUCUAAAUAUAAUUUAUGUUGCAUGCCUAAAAUAUUAACUGUGUGAGACUUUCUGUUUACUUGUUAUUGAUUCUAUCACAUUUGAAUUUUAUAUUUGAUCAAUUGGAAGGUAUUCCAUUCUGUCAUAAUUUAUCUGACAAAAAGUAAAACACUUUAGCUUAUUUGUAAAUUUUUAUCAAUAUUUAAUAUAAUUGUAUCUUUCCAGAUCAAAAUUGUUUUGAUUUUUGAUAAUCAUUGCCCAGUCUGCCAAAAGCCCAUGUGAGAGUCAUAUGGCAAAAGGCCUGCCUAAUAGGACCUUUGAGAGGAUUUGUUCAUUAAAAAGACUAAACAGGUUAUCCAUAUACUUAACCUGUUCAUAAUUCCUGAUUUUUAUUGAUAAUUUAAUUAUUGUAAACAUUACAGAUUUCUACAUGGCACCUAAGAUUUUGACGUUUUUGUCAAUUUUUGCUUAAUGCCUACACUAGUGAUAGUUUGCAUUUUAUCUGACAUAAAUGUGUUCCAGUUUAUUCAAUAAAUGUAUAAUAUUUACAUCAUACCCAUAUGUAUUAUAUCUUUUAUGUUGUAUGUGGAAAACGACAUUUUAAAUAAUUGUCCUACUGGAGCUCCCACCAAUAUUUUUCCAUUCAAAAACUUAUUACUUGAGCACCUUCAUUCUUAUGAAAAUUAAGAAUCUGGUUUAAAAGAAGUUAAUACUAGCAUUUUUUAAACUUAGAGGGAAAAAAUCUUUUGCAGGCUUUCUCGAAAUAUUGGAUCUUUGAAGUAAUCAAUCUGGGGAAUUGUUUCAGAGUAGCAUUAAAUGCCAAGGUUGCAGUUCAAUUAAUAAUAAAGUUAUUUGAGGCCCAGGAAAAGCUGGAAAAUAAAAAAUGAUAUGCUGACUCGCCUAACUCAACUUAAAAAUUCAGAGAAGUCAUUCAACUGGUCUUUGAUUGGUCUUUCUUUGAAUACAAGAGGAAAUUCUAAAGGGUCAAAGAGUUGUAGAUGGUAUGAUUAUCUUAUAUAACUUUAGCCAAAGAAAAUUGUUUGCCCAAUUCACCACAUUGGCUUUCUAAGCUUUCCUAAACUCCUUGGAUAAUGUAAUUUGGUUUUUAGCCAUUUGGCUAAAUACUGUUGGAAGGUAAUAACUUCAUGUAUCUGCCAUUCUUUGUCUUAAGAUUCAGAGUUUUAAGAAAUAAAAGGAUUUCUUUAACCUUUGCUCCCAAAAUGUUAUUUUCAGAACAAAUCUUAUUUCUAGCAUGCUUUUUUAAAAAAUUGUUUAAAUUCACUAAAAUCUAAAUCCCUCCUUUUCCUUCCAUGUGAGUCUAUCCCCUGCCCCCCAAAAAUAUUAUUAUUCAGUGUAUAACUUGGAAAAAACCGAGACAUUUUUCUUAAUGCAAGUAUACUUGUAAAGUCAUUAUCAAGGCCUGCAACUCCUUAAGGUUUUGUUUUUUUAUGAGAUUAUUUGAUGAAACUGAUAGAGCAAAAAUGAUAGAAAGACUAUUUUCUCUACUUAUGUUUUUUGUGUGAAUAUGAUGAAUUAACUGCUGCUGAUGUCUUGCAAGACAUCAAAAAAUGGUCUCGCAAUGUAAAUAUGUGUACAUAUUUGUGUCUAAAAGGCUCAUAUAUAUGUAUAUACAUCAAAUCUUACCAGAAUUUAUAAUGUUAUAGAUUUAAGACUGAGUAAUAAAAAUUUGGUAUAUGUAACCAGUUUUA